rnacentral:rRNA from 1 species
AUGACAAGUAAGAAAAGUAACAGACCUACAGUCACAUCAUGCACUGCUCUGCAUAUGGAAUGGGACAGGAUUUCUUGCCCUAUUUGUAUGGAGCAACCACACAAUGCUGUUUUACUUAUAUGCAGUUCGUACAAGAAUGGCUGCAGAAGUUAUAUUUGUAACACAAGCCAUCGACACUCUAAUUGCCUAGACCGGUUCAGAGAAAUGAAUGGAGAUAGUAAGGUCCGUGAUUCACACUCAACCUCUUCGGUGCUUUCAAACUCCAAUAACAGAACAGUCCAACCAAGAUCUCACUAUAGUAUGAUUUCCAGACAUUUGUUGAGCCCAAGCCUCAGAAGACACACUGACAAUGCUAAUAACCAAGAAUCUGCUAAUUCAACACCAUUCUUAGGAGAAAGUAGCAUUAUAAUGCAAGAAUGUCAUGAUGCUAUGCAAAUUUCAGUUGACAUGAAGUGUCCUCUCUGUAGAGGAUCAGUAUCAGGCUGGAUUCCUGCUGGAGAAGUCAGAAAGUAUCUGGACGAGAAGUCGAGGUGUUGCUCCCAUGAUUGCUGCAAAUUUGUUGGUAGCUAUGAGCAGCUGCGUGAGCAUGCUAGAACAGCUCACCUGCGUGCAAAGUCUGCCCUUGUAGAUAUCUCAAGGAAAAGGUCUUGGGAUCGCCUUGAACGUGAGCAGGAGUUUGGUGAUGUGAUUAGUGCAAUCAGGUCACAGAAUCCUGGUGCAGUAAUAGUUGGUGACUAUGUUAUUGAGACUAGAGAUGCAAUGUCUCCUGAUGAAGAUUCUGGGGAAGAAAGUGGUGAUGAGUGGUGGUCUCCUGCCCAAGACCAAGUAGAAUCACCGGAUAGACAUCGUGCCCCUAGGCCCUGGCUGAAUGGAAGACUAGGAUCACCUACCAUUUGGCCAGAUGGAAGGCAUGCCUUCCCUAGGUUUCUGCCACAGCCCAGGCCAUUCAGUGAUAGGCGCAGCUCACGUGCAGAUUGGCAGGGCAUCCGACGGUCAAGCGCGCAAAGCUGGCUGCGCCAGGGUUUCUCGAAUCGGCACUCUAGGCACACCAGCAGUUACCGCGGAUAUCGCCAUGGCAUCUUUGAUCGCCGUUACGCUGGAAACAAUCGUGCAGGUAUUGAUAGGAGGCAGGAUGGCCCAACAUUUCCGCCGGGAAGACGGCAGCGUUUGAGAUACACGCAAAGAAGCCAGCAUGAUCCAUGA